UAACCUUCUUUUAGCAGGGAAGAAGCGAAAGGAACGGUACCUGCAGAAAAAGCACCGGCUAUUUACGUGCCAGCAGCCGCCGUAAUACGUAGGGUGCAAGCGUUAUCCGGAAUUAUUGGGCGUAAAGAGCUCGUAGGCGGUCUGUCGUGUCUGCUGUGAAAUCCCGAGGCUCAACCUCGGGCUUGCAGUGGGUACGGGCAGACUAGAGUGCGGUAGGGGAGAUUGGAAUUCCUGGUGUAGCGGUGGAAUGCGCAGAUAUCAGGAGGAACACCGAUGGCGAAGGCAGAUCUUUGGGCCGUAACUGACGAUGAGGAGCGAAAGGGUGGGGAGCAAACAGGCUUAGAUACCCUGGUAGUCCACCCCGUAAACGUUGGGAACUAGUUGUGGGGUCCUUUCCACGGAUUCCGUGACGCAGCUAACGCAUUAAGUUCCCCGCCUGGGGAGUACGGCCGCAAGGCUAAAACUCAAAGGAAUUGACGGGGACCCGCACAAGCGGCGGAGCAUGCGGAUUAAUUCGAUGCAACGCGAAGAACCUUACCAAGGCUUGACAUACACGAGAACGGGCCAGAAAUGGUCAACUCUUUGGACACUCGUGAACAGGUGGUGCAUGGUUGUCGUCAGCUCGUGUCGUGAGAUGUUGGGUUAAGUCCUGCAUGGAGACCAACCUCUCGUUUUAUCUGAACAGCACGUAAUACGUUCAC
rnacentral:rRNA from 1 species